CCAACGGCCCUCUUUAGGGCCACAAAACUGCAAUCCUGUAAUUAUCU
rfam:Caenorhabditis tropicalis strain JT1373 unplaced genomic scaffold Scaffold630, whole genome shotgun sequence.